rnacentral:rRNA from 1 species
CGGGAGGCAGCAGUGGGGAAUAUUGGACAAUGGGCGCAAGCCUGAUCCAGCCAUACCGCGUGGGUGAAGAAGGCCUUCGGGUUGUAAAGCCCUUUUGUUGGGAAAGAAAAGCAUUCGGUUAAUACCCGGGUGUUCUGACGGUACCCAAAGAAUAAGCACCGGCUAACUUCGUGCCAGCAGCCGCGGUAAU